rnacentral:rRNA from 1 species
CCAGACUCCUACGGGAGGCAGCAGUGGGGAAUAUUGCACAAUGGGGGGAACCCUGAUGCAGCAACGCCGCGUGGGUGAAGAAGUACUUCGGUAUGUAAAGCCCUGUCAGCAGGGAAGAAAAUGACGGUACCUGACCAAGAAGCCCCGGCUAACUACGUGCCAGCAGCCGCGGUAAUACGUAGGGGGCAAGCGUUAUCCGGAUUUACUGGGUGUAAAGGGAGCGUAGACGGCAAGGCAAGUCUGGAGUGAAAGCCCGGGGCUCAACCACGUGACUGCUUUGGAAACUGUGUUGCUGGAGUGCAGGAGGGGUAAGCGGAAUUCCUAGUGUAGCGGUGAAAUGCGUAGAUAUUAGGAGGAACACCGGUGGCGAAGGCGGCUUACUGGACUGUAACUGACGUUGAGGCUCGAAGGCGUGGGGAGCAAACAGGAUUAGAUCCCCCAGUA